rnacentral:rRNA from 1 species
GACGGGACCCGCACAAGCGGUGGAUGAUGUGGUUUAAUUCGAUGCAACGCGAAAACCUUACCACCUUUGACAUGGCAGGAAUCCCGAAGAGUAUUUGGGAGUGCUCGAAAGAGAACCUGCACACAGGUGCUGCAUGGCUGUCGUCAGCUCGUGUCGUGAGAUGUUGGGUUAAGUCCCGCAACGAGCGCAACCCUUGCCAUUAGUUGCUACGAAAGGGCACUCUAAUGGGACUGCCGGUGACAAACCGGAGGAAGGUGGGGAUGACGUCAAGUCCUCAUGGCCCUUAUGGCCAGGGCUUCACACGUAAUACAAUGGUCGGUACAGAGGGUUGCCAAGCCGCGAGGUGGAGCCAAUCCCAGAAAGCCGAUCGUAGUCCGGAUUGUAGUCUGCAACUCGACUACAUGAAGUCGGAAUCGCUAGUAAUCGCGGAUCAGCAUGUCGCGGUGAAUACGUUCCCGGGCCUU